rnacentral:rRNA from 1 species
GACGAACGCUGGCGGCGUGCUUAACACAUGCAAGUCGAACGGAAAGGCCCUGCUUUUGUGGGGUGCUCGAGUGGCGAACGGGUGAGUAACACGUGAGUAACCUGCCCUUGACUUUGGGAUAACUUCAGGAAACUGGGGCUAAUACCGGAUAGGAGCUCCUGCUGCAUGGUGGGGGUUGGAAAGUUUCGGCGGUUGGGGAUGGACUCGCGGCUUAUCAGCUUGUUGGUGGGGUAGUGGCUUACCAAGGCUUUGACGGGUAGCCGGCCUGAGAGGGUGACCGGCCCCAUUGGGACUGAGAUACGGCCCAGACUCCUACGGGAGGCAGCAGUGGGGAAUAUUGAACAAUGGGCGGAAGCCUGAUGCAGCAACGCCGCGUGCGGGAUGACGGCCUUCGGGUUGUAAACCGCUUUCGCCUGUGACGAAGCGUGAGUGACGGUAAUGGGUAAAGAAGCACCGGCUAACUACGUG